rnacentral:snoRNA from 12 species
AAAGCAGGUCUGCAAUUGCAGCACUUGGUUGCAGUAGAGUGCUGUCAUUAACCCUGCUGAGAGUAUCCUUCUGCUGCAGAGCUCUCACUCGCUCUCACUGUGUUGAUGAGGACGCUCUGUAGCUGAACAUU